UUGAGACAAAGGAGAUGGUUAGAGCUAAUAAAAGACUACGACUAUUUGAUAAACUCUCAGCUAGGGAAAGCUAAUGUGGUAGUUGAUACCCUAAGUCACAAGACUAUAGCUAGUCUAAGAGUUUCUCUUUUGUCCAUAGUGCAUGAACUAAAAGCACUGCAUGCUAGUUUGGAGAUAGAUGAUGAGGGCCAGAUGAGAGCUACAUGGCAAGUGAAACCAGUGCUGAUUGAUCAGAUAAAAACCGCUGCACAAAAUGAUGAGAAGUAUCAAAAAUUGAUCGAGGUAACUCAGGAUGGCAAGAAACCUGAAUUUUCUGCAAAUGAUGAUGGCCUACUGCUACACCAGGGCAGAAUG
rnacentral:misc_RNA from 1 species